AGUAUAGCUAUGCUUGCACUCAUUUGUUAGGUGAAGCAUAUUAUUGUUCUUUGCUUAAGCUUGAGUUAUGUAACAGGAAAUGACUGUUCUGUAUGCAGGCAGAAGGUUAAUGGAAGUGCUGUUUGUAUUUCCUUUACAAAUGUCUAUACACAUGCACAUACCUGUCAUUGCUAGCUCAAGGAUGCAAACACUAGAAACGUUAAUUGUAUUAAAUCUAUGUUGUCUUUUGGCUGUAAUUAAAUUUUCUGCUUUGUUAUAUAAAAAUAAUUGGGGAUGUGUAUAUUUUUUAUUUUUUAGAUACCAUUGUCUGGAUAUGGAGGAACAAGUAAUCUUAUUUUAGAAGAUGUUAAGAAAUUAUCUGACAGUUACUUGAUAACAAUGAAUGACUUAAUUCCUGGCAAAGAAAGUAAAGUUGUUUUUUCUAUUCGCAACACUGGCUCCAGAGCAGCCUUUGUUAGAGCAGUAUGUUUUAAAGAGUCUCAAAGAAAAGUUUUGCUGGAUCCUAAAGUAUUGAGGAUUUUUCCAGAUAAAUUUGUACUUAAGGAAAGAACCCAAGAAGUAAGUAUACAAUAUCUGCCUUAAAAAAUAAAGUUAUAUUUUGAUUAAUAUUAGUAUUUUAUGGCCAAGUAUAAAAUCGUGCUGGGAGGGAGUGUGGAAUAGAAGACUCUAGUCUUUCUGGGAGAGCUGCUGUACAUAUUUAUUUAUUAUUUCCUUUCCUUUUUCCUUUUCCUUUUCCUUUUCCUUUCCCCUUUCCUUUUCCUUUUCCUUUCCUUUUCCUUUCUUUUCCUUUCCCUUUUCCCUUUUUCCCCUUUUCCCUUUUCCCCUUUUUCCCUUUUUCCCUUUUUCCCUUUUUCCCUUUUUCCCUUUUUCCCUUUUACCCUUUUUCCCUUUUUCCCUUUUUCCCUUUUCCCCUUUUUCCCUUUUUCCCUUUUUCCCUUUCCCUUUCCUUAUGGGAGUUUCUCUGUAUAGCCCAGGCUAUCCUGGAACUGUUGACCAGGCUGGCCUUGUCCUCAGAGACUGGCCAGUUUCUGCCUUCUGAGUGUACAAGUGUUCUGUCUGUGGUCUCCUUAGUAUCGUAGGACUGUUUAUCCAGAGUGAGAUAAUUUACUAAGGAAAAAUACUGAAUAUUCAUAUUCCUGCUUUUCUUUUUUUGUUGUACCAGCAUAUUACUUUAGUGUACACUCCAUCAAGCAGAAAGAAUGGCGAAAAACCUGCAACAGAGCUGUUAACUGUCUACAUGUUUGGUGGUGAUGAAAUCUCCAGACAGCAGUAUCGCAGGUAGAACUUGCCAUAGACAAUGUUGGGAGCUGACUGGUGAACACACCUCACUAUUUAUCAGUCAGAGGACAGAUAAAGAGAAACAUUGUUAAAAUUUGUGUGGCUUGUAAGUUGGCAUCAUGUGAGUUGAGAUACUUGGAAGAAACAUAAAUGUGUUUUCUACAUUCUGACUUCUUUCUUGACAUAUGGAUGCUUUUCCCUUAUCCAAUAGGCCCAUCAUGCUUCACACUGCUCCUACAUACUUAGAGCAUACUACAUCAUGCUUUUCCUACCCCAGUUUAAACCUACAUGAUUACUUUUAAUAUGUAAAAUUAAUACAAUUAACAUUUCUAGGAAGGCUAUAAGUUACUAGAAAGGAUCAUUAUAUUUUAGAAAUGUGUGAAUGGUUUACUUUAUAGAUACUUUAUAAAAUUUGAUAUAUCCAAUAUUUAUGUGAUUUAAUAUAUAGAGUUGGAAAGUGGAAUAUUUUUCUAGGUCAAGUAUGAUUAAAAUAUUGAUGCAUUAUUAUGUGUUAAGUUCUGGAUGCUUCUUGUUGCAAAAUGGAGGUUUUAGGGCUAAUACAAGAUAGAUAAAACUCAAACUCACGUUGAGAGCGAUGAAUGACUACUCUGUGAUGCUUUGAAGCUGGCUUCCUUUUUUGUUUUUUUGGUUUUUCGAGACAGGGUUUCUCUGUAUAGCCCUGACUGUCCUGGAACUCACUUUGUAGACCAGGCUGGCCUCGAACUCAGAAAUCCGCCUGCCUCUGCCUCCCGAGUGCUGGGAUUAAAGGCUUGCACCACCAAGCCCGGUCUUGUUUUUGUUUUUUAUCUUUUCUUUUCUUUUUUUGAGACAGGGUCUCUCUACAUAGCCCUGUCUGUCCUGUAUACACCAGGCUGGCUUUGAACUCAUAGAGAUUCACCUGCCUCUACCACCUUGAGUGUUGUGAUUACAGGUGUUUACUACCAAGCCUGUUAAACCCAGCUUCUUACUUAUUUUAGAAUAAUUUGGAGACAGGACAUAGUCACAUUUCCUUUUUCCCCUUCUCUAUACUGAAACAUAAAAAGAAAAAAAACAAACAAACAACCCCAGUGUAUUGUUUCAUAACUUCUAUUUACCAUAGACUUACGUACUGAAAUUUCCUUUGUUUGUGGACAUCUGAGAAUUACAGAGACCUUUAAUAGUUUAUUUCUCACUGUAAAGAUUCUUUGGAAGGUGCCUAUUUUUAUAGUAGUUAAGUGGUUACUUAAAUAUUUCCAUAAACAGUUUUUUAUUGUUCUUUUCUCCUCACUGAGGCAAGUUCUUUGACCAAAUUGUCACAAAUAAUGACAAGAUAAGCCCUGGAAAGAAUCCAAUUCUCUUUCUACUCUUACAUUAAAGAGCCCCUACUUUGCUACUACUAUUAAUUAAUGAUUCCACUACCAUUUAAGCUCUAAAGCAGAUUUGGCUCUGAACAGUACUCAUUUUAUUACUUAAGAUCUAUGAUCUAUGUGUGAAUGUAUCCUGCUGUUAGUGGGGUUUGCCAAGUAAUUAAAAUCUGGUUUAGGUCACGUUGUACAUCAAGUGAAUAAAAAUGUUUUCUGGCAGAGCUCAGAUGCAUACACCAGGAAUCCUAAAGCAGAUCCUUCCAGAACACAGUGUGCUACAGCACAUCGACUUCACGGAGGCAUUUCAGGAUGAGCCUCUCAUUGAUGAAGGUGAGAGUGUGACAGCCUUGAUGUUUGGGUGGCUUGUGGUGUUAGCUAGGCAUGGAGUGAGAACAGGAAGGACUUUCCUUUGGAUAUGGUGUCCUUCUGAGUCUGAGCUUCUGACUUUGAACAAACCACAUCAGUGAGUUUCAGUUUCCUUCUGGUUUGUUAUCUGUAAGAGUUGUUUUGCAAAUCAGAUGGAAGAUGGGAGAGUUGUUUUGCUUUAUAAAUAUUUUAGAUAUCGGUAAAGAAUCAGAUCUCAGGCUCAUAAAUGGAAGAAGGAUGUGGGCCAUUAUUACACUCAGGUUCAUAUUGUUUUAGGCUUCAUGAUGGUGUUUAGAGAUGUAGUGGUGUCC
rnacentral:lncRNA from 1 species